UUAGGGCAACCUGACACACAUGAGUAUUAAUAGCCACGUUUACCUGUACGAGUGGACUGCCAAGGUUGUUUCGCAGAUCCACCAAGUUGGCGGAUCGUUCCCCUGGCAUGGCAUUAGUCUAUCAACAUGUACCACCCUAGGUGUAUUGUCUGGACACUCUUGGAACCUAAAGCAUUUUUACAGAUGUAACAAAAGAAGGCUGAUCCAAGACCUGCAUCUCAAGGAUGUACGUCCGUAUAUUCUCUUCAGCGAUACGAACACAUUUACAUUUUCACAAAAUAGAUGCAGCUGUAUCUGUGAGAUACUAUGCAGGUCGUUCAAGAGCAUAUGUGCCAUAUGGAAAAAAACAGGAGAAGGACAUCAUGGAUCAAGACUCGGAAAGCAGAAUGUUGGCUACAUGGAACCAGUACGAGACAAGACCCUUAACUGGGUCCGAUCUAUUCCAUUCACUGCCAAAGACUCAGUGUUCAACAUAGGCGACUAUGGCGCAGCUGAUGGCUCUGCUUCCAUGGUCAUCAUUGGGCAGAUGUUGGCAACUCUGAAAGAUCAGCACGGUCCAGAGGCACAAUUCCAGGUCAUCUAUGAAGACUCGGAAGUGAAUGAUUUCCUGAACCUCCUUCAUACCUUCUGGAAAUGGACAACGUCUAUGUUCUCGCUGCUGGGACAAACUUCUACAGACAAUGUGUACCUUCAAAUUCAAUGCAUUUCAUCAUGAAUAUGGUCGCUGCUCACUGGCUGUCGAAGACUCCAACAAACUUUAAUGACUCAAUUUACAAAUACCCUGAGAGUAGUGCUGAGGAGAAGAUGGCUUUAGAAAAAACAGUCUGAGAUCGACUUCGAGACCUUCUUACUUUUGAGAAGUCGAAAAUUGGAAAAGGGAGGCCUGCUUGUUCUUGGUGUAGGAUGUGAGACUAUAGACAAGAGCAGUGGAAAAAUCAAGUAUCUUCUUGAGACGUUCGUAACGUUACUCACUAAGAUAUAACAAAAGAAGACUGACGUAAGACCUGCAUCUCAAGGAUGUCCGUCCGUAUACUCUCUUCAGCGAUACGAACACAUUUACAUAUUCAUAAAAUACAUACAGCUGUAUCUGUGAGAUACUAUGCAGGUCGCCCAAGAGCAUAUGUGCCAUAUGGAAAAACAGGAGACGGAAAUUAUGGAUCAACACUCGGAAAGCAGAAUGCUGGCUACAUGGAACCAGUACGAGACAAGAUCCUUAACUUGGUCAAAUCCAUUACAUUCACUGCCAAAGACUCAGUGUUCAACAUAGGCGACUAUGGCGCGGCUGAUGGCUCUGCUUCGAUGGCCAUCAUUGGGCAGAUGUUGGCAACUCUGAAAGAUCAGCACGGUCCAGAGGCACAAUUCCAGGUCAUCUAUGAAGACUCGGAAGUGAAUGAUUUCAAUUCCCUGUUCAAACGUAUGUCAGGAAUCAUUCCCGAACCUCCUUCAUACCUUCUGGAAAUGGACAAUGUCUAUGUUCUCGCUGCUGGGACCAACUUCUACAAACAAUGUGUACCUUCAAAUUCAAUGCAUUUCAUCAUGAGUUUGGUCGCUGUUCACUGGCUGUCGAAGACUCCAACAAACUUUAAGGACUCAAUUUACAAAAAAACCUGAGAUUAGUGCUGAGGAGAAGAUGGCUUUAGAAAAACAGUCUGAGAUCGACUUCGAGACCUUCUUACUUUUGAGAAGUCGAGAAAUGAAAAAGGGAGGCCUGCUUGUUCUUGGUGCGGCAUGUGAGACUGUAGACAAGAGCAAUGGAAAAAUCAAGUAUGUUGUUGAGACGUUCAUAACGUUACUCACUAAGGUUUGGCAGGAAUAUAGAGAAUCUGGGAAAAUCUCAAAAGAAUUUUUUUUAAUACAAAUUUGUCAGUUUGCCUUCGCAGCAUGUCUCAGCUGAGAAAACUAUUCGAUGACAAAAUGUCAGCAGUUUCCAAAUCCGGACUCUGUCUCUUGUCAGCUGAAACGGUUAUCAACCCUGACAUAUUUUACACAACAUGGAGGGAAAAGAAAGACAAGGAAGGGAUUGAUGACAGGGAGGAAUUUGCUCGGAUGUACACAUCGGCCCAUAGGAACUGGGGCAAUAGCACCUUUAUGAACGGCCUCUCAGACUCCCGCUCACAGGAGGAGAAGAAGAAGAUAGUGGAUGAGUUCUAUGACAGUGUUGAAAAACGAAUUUCAAAGCUGAGCCCCGAAGAAUUCAAGGAUGAUUUGCAAUUCACAUAUCUUGUGAUCAGAAAAGAAUAGUCAGCUUACAAGCCUCAAGAAGAGCAAGACUUUGUAUCAUGACCACAUACAUACAUAUAUGCAUAAUAACUAAUACUAUGUUAUCGAUUUUAAUUCUUUAAUGUCCCACAAUACUUGAAAUUUCAAGAAACACGUUUCAAUUUCCUUCAGGAACACCAUUUCACCCAAAUUGUUUAACUUUAGGAACGUGUUGCAGGAUAUGGAUUUGGCAUCUUGUGAUGUAAUUCCACUACUUGUGGCUGCCAAGGCUGAUUAUACUGCUUCCAACACGUUGGUCAUGCAUUCUAACUGGUGACUUCUCUAGUAUUUGACAACCUUCGUCAGUUAUUCAAAUGUGAAUCAACAUAUCGUAAGGAGCCUCCUGUCCGUUGAGAUUACAACUUUAAAAUAAUUAUGGAUACUGUCAAAGAAUCUGCCAACACAUUAUUCCCGAGAGCAGAGGAACCUGUCUUUCAGAGUGUGUUAGGUCAGUACGUGAUGUUGUCAUUGGGAGAAUGAAAUUGAAGAAUGGGAACCAGAACUUGAGUAAAUAUAUUCUGUUCAAACCAGAUGUCAUCCAAAGUCUGGUUUCCCUCCCUAUAUGAAAUGUUUGCAGUUUGUCCCACUGCAAAGGUCUCAAAUAACAUAACCAUUAUAUCUUAUGUCAUUACAAUUAAUAACAUUAGAGGAAAAUAUGAAGAGUGUAUAUCAUUUUAUUGAGGACAGAACAGGAUUACAUGCUUCUCAUCUUCUAAAACAGAGCAUUUAAUACAAAGAAUAUCAUUAAUAUGUACAGUACUUCAACGUAUCCGUAGUGUCUGAAAGCCUAAUGCAUCAUACCCACUUCCAGAUUGUUAAUAACUUCUAUGUCAUAUGUGCAAAUAUCAAUAGACAGAUUUGUCACCGACGUAUUGAGCAAACCAUAAGAAAGGCAGAGUAGCCCAAUUUGGGUAUGUUCGAUUGCAGGUUUGUUGCAGCGUAUCAUAUUAUUGAAAUGUCUUGUGGCAGUGAAACCUGAUUGAGUCAGUCCCGAAUAAGACUCACUAAUUGCGUAAUAUCUCUUUGUGUAUAUUCUCAUAUCUCACUUACAUAAGUACAAUUUCCUGAUUAAAUUUUCGAAAGCAUUUAUGGCGCACACAUCGUGUUUACAUAGUAAAGUUUUUUUCAGAAUGAGAGCUUUGCAGUGCGACGAAAGUGUGCUUACAUGCCUGUGUCAAAACAAUUUUUAAGAGUUGUAAUUAAUUCCAGAUAUGUGUGUGCGUUAAAAACUUUAAUUCCCCUCCCAUUAUAUGCAUAAUGCUCAUAUUCUGAUAAUUAUCCCCUGUUUCUAAAUACUAUAAUCUUUGUUUACCAUGAUUUAUUUAAAUUCCCCACUUAAGUACAAUACUGGUGCAAACAGUCUAAAUAUCUUUGUAAGCUUUUUGUAGAAUCAACUGUAAGUAUCAGCUCAUCUGCAAAUAAUUGAGGAAUAAUGAGUUACAUUUCCUCCAAUGCAUAUUACCAUUAACAAAACUGACUGCACAAACAUUGAAGAAGUACUAUCAGAACCCCUUUGGUGUAACCAUCAGUUUAAAAAACCGAUUUCAUUAUAAGAAAAUAUUUUAAGGGAAUUUACACUAUGAAAGAUCUCUGUAAUGAAGAUGAAAUAAUGCCCUUUAGUGAACUGAAAAGAAAAUAUUAAAUCAAAGGCACAAUUAUUGACUUUUACCAAGUUCUUUUAAAAACAUACCAAAAUCCUGGAAAGAUACUAUUAGAAAUAAUCACAUUAUCUUACAUAAUCAACAUUUAAAUACAACUUUGAUGGACUUACUUGUAGCGCCUAAAGGCUCCAGAUAUUUUUGUAUGCGUGUUUUAGUGCUGACAUUGAUUUAAUGUUGCUGAUAUGACUCAUGUCAUUUGAAUUGUUAGUGCUGUAAAUAAACAUAUGAGUAACAGUU